rnacentral:rRNA from 1 species
GCAGCAACGCCGCGUGGAGGACGAAGGCUUUCGGGUUGUAAACUCCUUUUCUGGGGGAUGARAAAGGACAGUACCCCAGGAAUAAGUCUCGGCUAACUACGUGCCAGCAGCCGCGGUAAAACGUAGGAGGCGAGCGUUAUCCGGAUUUACUGGGCGUAAAGCGCGCGUAGGCGGUCUGGUUAGUCGAAUGUGAAAGCCCAGGGCUUAACCUUGGAACUGCGUUCGAUACUGCCUGACUAGAGUAUGGUARAGGGAAGUGGAAUUUCCGGUGUAGCGGUGAAAUGCGUAGAUAUCGGAAGGAACACCAGUGGCGAAGGCGACUUCCUGGGCCAAUACUGACGCUGAGGUGCGAAAGCGUGGGGAGCAAGCAGGAUUAGAUACCCUGGUAGUCCACGCCGUAAACGAUGAGAACUAGAUGUCGGGGGGAUCUGCCCUUCGGUGUCGCAGCUAACGCGUUAAGUUCUCCGCCUGGGGAGUACGCCGGCAACGGUAAAACUCAAAGGAAUUGACGGGGACCCGCACAAGCGGUGGAGCAUGUGGUUUAAUUCGAUGCAACGCGAAGAACCUUACCUGCCCUUGACAUUGACAGAACCCUCUARAGACAGAGGGGUGCUUCGGCCUGGAAAACAGGUGCUGCAUGGCUGUCGUCAGCUCGUGUCGUGAGAUGUUGGGUUAAGUCCCGCAACGAGCGCAACCCUUGUCCCUAGUUGCCAGCACUUC